AACCCACUCUCCAUACGCACAUACAUACAUGGAUUACCUGACUACACGUUGAUCGGAAUGUCUUUCGUUACCGCCGUAUUGCCCCCUCGCUAGCUCUGGUGGACUACUGCUCUAAAACUAGACCAUUGGCAUGGAAACAAUUCCUUGAAGAUAUGCAUGUUUACGGCACAUCAUACAUACUAGUACAUUUGGGCGUUAGGCUGAAAAUAUCAUACGAUAAUCUGGCAAAAGAAGGGAAUGAGUGUGAGUAGGUGAGGGGCUGAAGAAUGAAGAGAAGAAUACAUUUUCGUUUCAUCCCUCAUUCAAAACGCACCAUCUAAACUGCUGCAAAUCCCGGAUAAGAGAGGAGAGAGACGAUCAGCUUAUUAUCAUAUCACCUAUUGAGAGAGCCCCAUUGGAGCUACUGUCACAUCAUGCAUAUUGGAUUUAGGUAUAUGCCGUUCCCGGAAUUAUCUCGUUUCAAUUCAGCCUUAGCUACUACUCGACAUGACACUACCUCCCGUUAGGUCACAUUGAGAUACCACAGUCGACCACAAACUCGCCCCUCUUAUUUCACCAUAAUGGAACAGCAUCUAUUUGAAAGGCCCGCUAACCAUCAGCGCCAACAGUGAAUGCGCCACUUCUGCCGCUGCUAGUGCUGUUGAUUCCCCAGCUGUAUCAUAUAUAGGUGCAACUUCAACGACAUCAGCACCAACGACCUGGAUUUCGGUGUCUGCAAGCGCAUCGAGGAUGGUGAGAAGCUCACGAGUACUGAACCCUCCGGGUUCCGGUGUUCCGGUUGCUUCAGUGGGCACAAUUAGCAGCAGAUUUAAAUCCACAAUGGCCAUCUGUCGAGCAGAAUGAGAGAACUUAAUUCGAAAACGAAAACCAGCUUACAUACCAGGUGCGAAUGCAGGAUCCAACACAUCAAUAUCAACACUUAAAUACGCCUUAUUGUUCCCGACGCGGUUUUGAAUCUUCUCCACGAUGCCACUUGUGCCGAUGCGGUCAAUGUCGCGGGCUGUGAUGAUGUCAAACCCGCACUGGAUAUCAUUUUUUAUGUCAUUUUUGGGACGCACUACGGGCCCCCGAAUUCCGACGUGAAUGGAGGAGGAGUUGAGGACAAGGCCCUGGGACGAAUAGCAUGAGAGCAAUGAAUGCAAGGGAGCUGAUGUACAGCAGGGACUCGGGGAAAUUAGGCAUUCGGAACAUUGAGUGCUUGGAUACUUACUUCUUCAUGGGCGAUAUGGAGGAAUGUGCCGUGAUUGACACCGCUGGGUGUGAAUGUAAGUUAUUGAACUGAAAUACGAAGCUUUUAGCAGAUGCCCUAAACUCACGCAUAGUUUGAAAUGCCGCCACCUAUGUUUAGAUUUAGUUUAUUUGCUACUACGGUCACAUACAUGGAAGGGAGAUAUGAGAAUUGCUAUGUGUACCUAGCACAGAAGGGUCCCAUGUGUCUAAAUUUUAGGGAGUCUUAGCCAACAGGUCCUCGAAAAUCACAAUAUAUGCCCAGCUCGACCAAAUUUCAUGUUAGGCGGCUUGAGGGCUGGUGACACCAACCGAUAUGACUAUCAAAAUGAAUGACGGAGACUGGGCCCCAAUGCUUAUAUGUUGAUCGCAACGCUGGUAGAGUUGUCGUGUGGUCGCCACCAAGCGUAAUUAUGCGAGGGAUCGUCGAAACAUCAGAGGAAUUGGC
rnacentral:sRNA from 2 species